rnacentral:rRNA from 1 species
UGGGGAAUUUUGGACAAUGGGCGAAAGCCUGAUCCAGCAAUGCCGCGUGUGUGAAGAAGGCCUUCGGGUUGUAAAGCACUUUUGUCCGGAAAGAAAUCCUUGGCUCUAAUACAGUCGGGGGAUGACGGUACCGGAAGAAUAAGCACCGGCUAACUACGUGCCAGCAGCCGCGGUAAUACGUAGGGUGCAAGCGUUAAUCGGGAAUUACUGGGCGUAAAGCGUGCGCAGGCGGUUUGCUAAGACCGAUGUGAAAUCCCCGGGCUCAACCUGGGAACUGCAUUGGUGACUGGCAGGCUAGAGUAUGGCAGGAGGGGGGUAGAAUUCCACGUGUAGCAGUGAAAUGCGUAGAGAUGUGGAGGAAUACCGAUGGCGAAGGCAGCCCCCUGGGCCAAUACUGACGCUCAUGCACGAAAGCGUGGGGAGCAAACAGGAUUCAGAUACCCGUGGUAGUCCACGCCCUAAACGAUGUCAACUAGUUGUUGGGGAUUCAUUUCCUUAGUAACGUAGCUAACGCGU